rnacentral:misc_RNA from 1 species
AAUCUUCAACCUACAAGCUUUUGUGGUUUGUAGGCUUGGACUUGGAGGCUUGUCGGCCGUUAUCGGUCGGCUCCUCUUAAAUGCAUUAGCUUGGUUCCUUGCGGAUCGGCUCUCGGUGUGAUAAUGUCUACGCCGCGACCGUGAAGCGUUUGGCGAGCUUCUAACCGUCUUAUAAGACAGCUUUAUGAC